UUUAAGGUCUAAUCUGCCCAAUGAGGAUUUAAAUGGCCGCGGUAUUUUGACCGUGCAAAGGUAGCAUAAUAAUUAGUUUUUUAAUUGAAAGCUGGAAUGAAUGAUUGGACGAGAAAAUAGCUGUCUCAAAUUAAUUUAAUUAGAAUUUUAUUUUUAAGUAAAAAAGCUUAAAUUUUUUUAAAAGACGAGAAGACCCUAUAGAGUUUUAUAUUUUUAUAUUUAUUUAAUGUUUUUAGAAUUAAUAUUUUAGUAGAUAUAAAAUUAUUUUGUUGGGGUGAUAGAAAAAUUAAAUUAACUUUUUUUAUAUUUAAACAUUAAUUUAUGAUUUAAUGAUCCAUUAUUUAUGAUUAGAAGAUUAAAUUACCUUAGGGAUAACAGCGUAAUUUUUUUUUAGAGUUCUUAUCGAAAGAAAAGAUUGCGACCUCGAUGUUGGAUUAAAAUAUACUUUUGGUGUAGGGGCUAAAUAGUUAGGUCUGUUCGACCUGUGAAAUUUUACA
rnacentral:rRNA from 1 species